GAUCGCACUGGAUUAAUGACCUGGAAGGCUCUUGAAAGCUAUGAUUCAGACAUCCAGCCGUGUUUCAAUUGUGUUUUGAACAGAAGACCCCACGCUCCUCUCCAUCCGUCACCUCUCAGGAGACAGUGAAGAAUGGGACCUGAUUAUGAGCUAUUGUGGGUAAGAGUGAUUUCGAUCUUUUUCUUUUUCCAGGAUUCAUUGUCCUCUGAGUGAGUGGGUGCUUGGUCCCUGUUUGCUGAUUGGAGAAAGCAAUGAAUGGAAGUUGCUUCAUGGCUGAGAUGCUUGGGAAGAUCCCAGAGCUAGACGGGAUGACUUCUCUCAGCCUCAACACCUUUGCAGAGAAAGGAGGGUCCCUCAAGGAGCCAAGGGAUGGGAGGGGGAAGAUGGGCAACAGAGGCAGGAAGCUCCACCUUGGCUGUAGACAUGGGGCCACUGGGCUGCUACUGGUGGUGAUCCUGCCACAGGGGGCUGGAUUUGGCUGGGUAAAGAAGUAACUGCUAAGAAUGAAGUUAUUGACAACACAGCACAGUGACACCCCUCAGUCACUCCCCCCCCCCCUGAAGUCCUUCUACUGCAGGAGAACAGGGUCUGGCCUCCCUACUGCACCUCAGCCUGGGUUCUCGCUUCAGUCUCUCAUGCCAGGAAGAGAAAUGACACUCUGGAUGGCAGCUGAGAAGACAAAGUGAGAAAUGCAGGUGAGAACUUGUGCACGAAGCUUGUCAUAUACCAGCUCUCCUUGCUGCUGAUUGUUGUCAUCUCUGUUUCGCUUCAAGCUGCUCAAUCUCAUCAUCACUUCUGGCAGCUUCAUCUGCCAGCUGACUCCCGGGGAGCUGCCUGUCAGUUAAACCUCAGCCUCUUUCAUGUGAAUUCUGGCCCUUCCUGUAAAGGAAACACACUGAGAGAAGACCCUCAAUGGUGCCUCAUGCUCUUUCUUGUGGCUGGGUACCCACAGACUUCCCCCAGAUGAUGCCCCAAGCCUGGCAUCCCUUCAAUGGCCUCAGGUUGUAUCAGUAACAUCAUCAGCUACUCAGUCUUCUGAGAAAAAGAGCUCCAUCAGGUGUGAGAGGCAGCUGGACUCCACAAACACAAAGGCGUGUACCUGUCCAUCAGAGUGUGGAUCAUGCCCAUUGCUUGGCUGGCAGGUGGAUUUGGUUUCUGACCAAGAGGGAAAAGAAAAGCUAUGAAAGAGAUCACAACUACGAGACAACAGAGGGAGAAAAAAAAAAAGACUCCAAGUACAUUUCCAAAUAAUACUAGACUAGAGAGAAAAACAAUAAUGCUUCCUUUUUAUUGUUAACAUUAUUCUGAAAAGUCUGACCAAAAUAUGAAGCACAAUUGCAAACCAAAACUAUGCUAACAAAGAGAGGGAAAAAACUACAAAUUGAUGUCCUUUAUAUAACCAGAAAACUGAAGUUAAAUUAUAGAGCUAAUGAGUAUUAAGUAAAAUUACUGUAUAUAAGAUAGAUUUUUCCUUUAUUUUAUAGGACAGAGAGAAGUUAAGAGAGGAGUGAGAAAUGCAAAAGAGGGAAAUAGAGAUACCUGCAGUAUUGCUUCACUGCUUGUGAAACUUUCCCCAAGCAGGUGGGGAGCAGGGACUUAACCCUAGGUCCUGGUGCAUGGUAACAUGUACACUAAACCAAAUGCAUCAGCUAACCCCCAAUAAAUACUCUUAAAGUACUGGUAUUCCUAUACAUAAGACAAUAAAUAGGAAUUAUCAUAAUUGAAAUAGGUCAUUCAUAAUAACAAUAAAAAUGUAAAACGACUGAGAAUAAUCUUAAAGGAGACAUUUUUUGAUGCAUCUGACAGAAAUUAUGUUUACAGAGAUGUAGAAGAUACUUGAUAUGUAGAAAGUCAUGCCAUAUUCUUGGAUAGAAAGAUUAAAUGUUAAUACACUAGUCCUCCAGAAUUUAUUUAUGGCUAUAGUGAAAUUCUGAUUUUACAAUAUCCUACUGUUCUUGUACUAUGGAAAAGGUAGAAGGCAAUAAAAAAAUUUGAGGGUUGGGCGUAGCGUAGCGGGUUAAAUGCACAUGGUGCAAAGCUCAAGGACUGGAGUAAAGAUCCCAUUUCGAGCCCCCAGCUCCCCACCUG